rnacentral:rRNA from 1 species
CGAACGCUGGCGGCGUGCCUAAUACAUGCAAGUCGAGCCGACUGUGCCUUCGGGUACAGUUAGCGGCGGACGGGUGAGUAACACGUAGGCAACCUGCCCGCAAGACCGGGAUAACUAACGGAAACGUUAGCUAAUACCGGAUAGGCGGCCUUCUCGCAUGAGGGGGCCGGGAAAGACGGAGCAAUCUGUCACUUGCGGAUGGGCCUGCGGCGCAUUAGCUAGUUGGUGGGGUAACGGCUCACCAAGGCGACGAUGCGUAGCCGACCUGAGAGGGUGAUCGGCCACACUGGGACUGAGACACGGCCCAGACUCCUACGGGAGGCAGCAGUAGGGAAUCUUCGGCAAUGGACGAAAGUCUGACCGAGCAACGCCGCGUGAGUGAGGAAGGCCUUCGGGUCGUAAAGCUCUGUUGCCAGGGACGAACGGCGAUGUGUUAACUGCACAUCGUGUGACGGUACCUGAGAAGAAAGCCCCGGCUAACUACGUGCCAGCAGCCGCGGUAAUACGUAGGGGGCAAGCGUUG